CCGUGUACGUCUUGGCCAUCAGGAAGAGCUCGUCCGUGGCGUCGCCGCCGCGAGUCAGCCCGCCGAUGGACUUGAGCUGAUACGUGGCAUGCUUCUCGAGGUCACCGGAGAGGUCAGUGUAGGCGGUGGCGCCCGACUCAAGCUUCCAGAGCUUCGCGGGGCUGACCUCCUGCACGGCAUAGUAGGUGGUGCCAAUCUUGGUGACGCCCUCGAAUCCGAGGUUGGACGCCGCCUUCGGGGUGAUACCUUGGACGAGAGUCGUGGCGCCGGAGUAGGUGCCGUCGGUGUUGAGGGUAACCUCGGUGAUCUUGACUGGGUUCUCGUCGGUGAUGGCGAACUUUCGGCCGCCCAGCGCAGAGAUACCCUCGAG
rnacentral:lncRNA from 1 species